AACCCGCAAUCCCUGUUUAAGUGAGUCUGGGAAAAAACGAUUCAUUUUUAGAAGCAAGACCCUACGUUUGUAAGAAUUUAACCUGUGAUGCUUUUUAAAGUGGCUAAUUGCAAAUAAUCAAGCGACGACGCGGCCCACCGCGAUUGCGGCAGCGGUGUAGGCGAGCGAGGCAGAGGAGCGGUCAACACCGGCGUCGAGGGCAAGGUAGGCCGGGCGCAGUGUCCUCCGGCGUGUGGUGGCACAUUGGACGGCGCAGGAGGCUGGGCGCGUCGAUUCGGGUGAGGGAAGUGGGGUCCAGAUCUGGUCGAGGACGGGGCAACCGACGGCGGCGGCGUGGCUGACGCUGGACGGAGAGAGAGGCAGAGCAAGGCACGCCGAAUCGCUGGAUCGGCACACCUCCCCUAGCCUCCUUCCUCUCCCGGUCGUUGGGGAAGCAGGACGGCCACCUCUGCUGGACGCCCUUCCCUGGUCGACGACGAGCGUUGCGGGCUGACACGGUGGCGCCCUUCCGUUGUGGAGUACCGUACUAGGACGACGGCGGUUAAGGUCAACGCCCUGCUCGACGCCCCCAUCUGCUGCUCGAUGCGCCCAUCACCUCGCUGGUUGAGCUCAACGCCACCUUGCUCUGCCUCCGGCAGUCAUCUCAUCCAAUCUGGCUGGUCCGCUCCCCACCUCGGCGGCUCCUUCAGUUCGGCAGCACACCACGCUCAAGCCUCCACCACCCCAACUCCUCAAGUUACAGUAGACAAGGAGCUCCGCUCUACCUCUCAUCUCUCUCCAUGUCCUGGUGGUCACGGGCUGAUGUUGCUGCUCCUCUCCUUCAGGAUCUAUCUCUUUCUCUUUAUCUCUCACCCUCUCAUGGAUUGACAACUGCAUUCUUCCCAAAUUAAUGUGUGCCUCUGUUCUUGAUAUUACGCCCACACCAUGUUUGAUGUUAUGCUUAUGAGGAGUUGAACUUCAUUUUUUUUUCAGGCUUUUCUUUGGUGUAUCAGGCAUUCAGGCUGGUGUAAUUUGUUUUCAAAAGUGAACAUGUUGUACAGUCCAAUGUAUCUACAAAAAUUAAGUUAUGGUGAGUUGUUCAUCAUGUUGCUUGCAUAUUUUUUGUCUAACAAGCUGGAUACUUCAGUUUUGAAUAUAAACAUUGAGUAGGUGCUCAAAUAUUUUGCUAAUGAUAGUUUCCAACUUGCUUUUUAGCAGAACUACAAAACUAUUAGCAGCUUUUAAUUAUGUGUACUUAAAAUGGAUUUGGUGUCCAGGACAUGUGGAGUUGAGAUCAGGUUGAAUUAUGUGCUGAUGUUCUUCGAUAGUAUAAUUGUUCUUCUCCUUUAACAUGAUGCACCAUUGACUUAUUUUUUUAGAUGCUCAAAUACACAGAGUAAUGACAUCCUGUAUGCGCUUGGACACCCAGCAGAUUGAAAAUAUAGAAGCAAAGAUAUCCAAUACGAGGCCACGAUGCCCGACAGAGAUGCAGCCAAUACGUGCCCAAUCUUUAUUUCUUGAUGUUGGAACAACAAAUAAGAGCAUGUUCAUGUUUACUUAUUAUGUUUUUUUUCGAGAAAUUUUGGGGAUUUACAAGCUGAAAUUAUUGACUGUCUGAAAAAAUGUUUUAACCAAAACUGUUUGAACAAUGUGCCCUGGUUCUGCAUUCAUGGAACUGUAAAAAUAUUGAACAAGUUCAGUCGGAGUUUUGUUCCUGUUAAUAUUCCAUUCUUAGUGUCAGUUUCUUUCCACUUGCUCAUUUAAUGUUGAACUAUACAUGUACUUAUUAUUAAAGUUUUGUUGUCUUCCUAAACUAAUUAGAUUUUUUAAGCACUACUGAACUAAUUGGAUGCCAUCUUAAAUUACCUUCCCUUUGACAUUAUUGUACAGAUUCCUGAAACACUGUCCCGAAUUCCACUGUUACAGAAUUGAAAUUCGAUUAGCACAUGGUAAACCAGCUUUGAUUCAGCAGGGUUAUCAGCUUAGAUUCGACUAUUUUUAGUUCCUACAAGAGCAAACGAUACACUUAUGUCAGUAGUUUUUAGAUAUAUUCACUGGCUUCAGAUUCUGCUGAUGGAUUUUUAUGCUCUGUUCUGCUUCUAGAGCUUGUGAAUGAUGUUCAUUGUUGUUUGAAAGAUGCACUUUUUUAUGCCUAUAUGUAAACGAUGCAAUUACUGGCUGAGAGAUACACUUAUUGGUGCUGUUCUGAAAUGAUGUUCAUUACUGUUCUACAGAUGCAGUAGACUGAUGUUUAUUGUUGUUUUGUUAUUGUACAGAACGAGGACGGAUCCAAGGUUGAGUACUGGGUGUGGAACCCUUUCAGAUCCAAGUUGGCUGCUGUUGUACUCUAUGGUGUGGACAACAUCUGGAUUGUAUGUCUUUUUUGAUGAUUCCUUCCGGCGCCCUGUCAUACUCAUUGCUCUCCAGUUAACGAAAUGAAUGCACAGCAGCAACACAGGCAGUAGCAGAAUGGGGUAUAAUGAAUGUUUUGUUUGAGUCUGACUGUCAAACGCUGGUUCGUGUUUCUAGAUUUUCUAGCUAAGGGCUGGUUUUGUUUAGCUGGAACACAAAUCACGAUCAGAUGUACCUAUUAUGACGAUUUCGGAUCCGUGCUAACUAUUUCUAAUUUUGAAAUUAUUCCUCAGAA